AACGAACGCUGGCGGCAUGCCUAACACAUGCAAGUCGAACGAGACCUUCGGGUCUAGUGGCGCACGGGUGCGUAACGCGUGGGAAUCUGCCCUUGGUUCGGAAUAACAGUUAGAAAUGACUGCUAAUACCGGAUGAUGACGAAAGUCCAAAGAUUUAUCGCCGAGGGAUGAGCCCGCGUAGGAUUAGCUAGUUGGUGAGGUAAAGGCUCACCAAGGCGACGAUCCUUAGCUGGUCUGAGAGGAUGAUCAGCCACACUGGGACUGAGACACGGCCCAGACUCCUACGGGAGGCAGCAGUGGGGAAUAUUGGACAAUGGGCGAAAGCCUGAUCCAGCAAUGCCGCGUGAGUGAUGAAGGCCUAGGUCGUAAAGCUCUUUACCAGGAUGAUAAUGACAGUACCUGAGAUAAGCUCCGGCUAACUCCGUGCCAGC
rnacentral:rRNA from 1 species